rnacentral:rRNA from 1 species
CCUACGGGUGGCAGCAGUGGGGAAUAUUGCACAAUGGGUGACACCCUGAUGCCGCGACGCCGCGUUAGCGAAGAAGUCUUUCGGUAUGUAAAGCUCUAUCAGCAGGGGAGAAAGUAACGUUACCUGCGUAAUCCUCUACUGCUUAAUACGUGCCAGCAGCCGCGGUCAUACGUAUGGCGCAGGCGUUCUCCGGAUUUACUGGGCGUAAAGGUAGCGUAGGCGGCCUGCCAAGUCUGAUGUGAAUUACCGGGGCUCAACCCUGGGGCUGCAUUGGAGCCUGGCAGGCUGGAGUGACGGAGAGGCAGGUGGAAGUCCGAGUGUAGCGGUGAAAUGCGUAGAGAUUAGGAGGAACACCAGUGGCGAAGGCGGCCUGCUGGACGGUGACUGACGCUGAGGCUCGAAAGCGUGGGGAGCAAACAGGAUUAGAUACCCUUGUAGUC